rnacentral:tRNA from 1 species
CAGUGAUUAGUCUAUACAAGAUCAUUAAUUUCGGCUUAAUAGAACCUAGACCCCCCCCCUAGGAUCACUCA